CACCAGACUCCUACGGGAGGCAGCAGUGGGGGAUACUGCACAAUGGGGGGAACCCUGAUGCAGCGACGCCGCGUGAGCGAUGAAGUAUUUCGGUAUGUAAAGCUCUAUCAGCAGGGAAGAAAAUGACGGUACCUGACUAAGAAGCCCCGGCUAACUGCGUGCCAGCAGCCGCGGUAAUACGUAGGGGGCAAGCGUUAUCCGGAUUUACUGGGUGUAAAGGGAGCGUAGACGGCGGUGCAAGCCAGAUGUGAAAGCCCGGGGCUCAACCCCGGGACUGCUUUUGAAACUGUUGAACUAGAUUGCAGGAGAGGUAAGUGGAAUUCCUAGUGUAGCGGUGAAAUGCGUAGAUAUUAGGAGGAACACCAGUGGCGAAGGCGGCUUACUGGACUGUAAAUGACGCUGAGGCUCGAAAGCGUGGGGAGCAAACAGGAUUAGAUACCCUCGUA
rnacentral:rRNA from 1 species